UACGUAGGGGCCAAGCGUUGUCCGGAUUUAUUGGGCGUAAAGAGCUCGUAGGCGGUUCGGCAAGUCGAAUGUGAAAUCUCCACGCUCAACGUGGAGGGGUCAUUCGAUACUGCCGUGACUCGAGUCCGGUAGGGGAGUGUGGAAUUCCCGGUGUAGCGGUGAAAUGCGCAGAGAUCGGGAGGAACACCCGUAGCGAAGGCGGCACUCUGGGCCGUAACUGGACGCUGAGGAGCGGAAAGCGUGGGUAGCAAACGAG
rnacentral:rRNA from 1 species